UAAGACGAAGGAUGGAUUAUUGGUUAUCAUGUCGAGGAGACUCGAGGCAAGUUGAGAGUCCCAUGAUGUGGCAUCUCAAUCAUGAUGUGCACCAUCGUCACAAUUAAGUCAUAGCUAUUGGGACAACGUUGAAACAAUUUGUCUCUUGUUUUCACAUAUAUUUUACAAAGAGGGAAAGUGUUAUCUUAUCUCCAACAAUUCCCAAAGAGCAUAAACGGGAGAGGAGGGGUAAUCGAUUCAAACAGGCGAUUCACAUGGUGAAAGCAUGUUUUGGGACUGAAUCCGAGAACCAUACUUGAUGAUACCAAGGGAUCGGACUUCCAGAAGUGGCUGCAUGUUGUUUGUGAGACAUGGAUUAAUGUCAAGUAGCAGAGGAAAACCUCAACAUUGUGGAUUUAAGCACCAGAAAACUGCCAACCCUCUUCAUUAGUAGCGUUAGCUAAACACUAGUCAAUGUUAGAAGCUGUCCAUAAGGAAUACCAGAAAAAGCAUAUAUUACCGUCUUUAAGCUUGAAAUAAAAGGA
rnacentral:sRNA from 1 species